UGGGGAAUCUUGCGCAAUGGGCGAAAGCCUGACGCAGCCAUGCCGCGUGAAUGAUGAAGGUCUUAGGAUUGUAAAAUUCUUUCACCGGGGACGAUAAUGACGGUACCCGGAGAAGAAGCCCCGGCUAACUUCGUGCCAGCAGCCGCGGUAAUACGAAGGGGGCUAGCGUUGCUCGGAAUUACUGGGCGUAAAGGGAGCGUAGGCGGACUGUUAAGUUAGAGGUGAAAGCCCAGGGCUCAACCUUGGAAUUGCCUUUAAUACUGGCAGUCUUGAGUGCGGAAGAGGUAUGUGGAACUCCGAGUGUAGAGGUGAAAUUCGUAGAUAUUCGGAAGAACACCAGUGGCGAAGGCGACAUACUGGUCCGUUACUGACGCUGAGGCUCGAAAGCGUGGGGAGCAAACAGG
rnacentral:rRNA from 1 species